GCUAGGUACAAUGGCAUGUGCCUGUAGUCCCAGCUACUGGGGAGGCUGAGGCAGGAGGAUUACUUGAGUCCAGGAGUUCUGAGCAGUAAUGCUCUAUGCCAAUUGGAUGUCCACACCAAGUUCGACAUCAAUAUGGUGACCUCCUGGAAACAGAAGACCAUCUGGUUGUCUAAGAAGGGGUAAACUGAACCAGGCUGGAAAUGGAGCAGUUCAAAACUCCCAUGCUGAUCAGUAUUGGGAUCACAUCUGUGAAUAGCCACUUCACUCCAGCCUGAGCAACAUAGCAAGAUCCUGUUUCUA
ensembl:misc_RNA Metazoa_SRP Metazoan signal recognition particle RNA